UGGCAAUUGUUUAUUACAGUAAUAUUAGUAGAUAUAGCACUGAAUAUCUAAAUUUUAAUUUAGAAGGGAGUUUUAUUAACUUAUCUUGGAUAUUUAAUCUCAGAAUGACUAAUAUGAAUUAGGUAAAUAAUCAGACUUUUUGCGAUAAGGUGAA
rnacentral:rRNA from 1 species